UACGAAGGGUGCUAGCGUUGUUCGGAAUUACUGGGCGUAAAGCGCGCGUAGGCGGUAAUGCAAGUCAGAGGUGAAAUCCCAGGGCUUAACCCUGGAACUGCCUUUGAAACUGCAUUGCUGGAGUGUGUGAGGGGAUAGCGGAAUUCCUAAUGUAGAGGUGAAAUUCGUAGAUAUUAGGAGGAACACCGGUGGCGAAGGCGGCUAUCUGGCACACAACUGACGCUGAGGCGCGAAAGCGUGGGGAUCAAACAGG
rnacentral:rRNA from 1 species